AGAUGAGCUAGACUGUUACAAUUGCUUUUAAAAAAAUCAACGGAUUUUUAUGUUUAUGGGAUUUAAAUGCUUCGAAUAAUACGAAGGCAUACGAAUAAUUACAAACAACAUGAAACAAUUUCUUGGUUCGCAACUUAAUAAUUUUUAUUCUUUUGCAGAAGACGGCUGAUUUGGAAUUCACAUUAGCGAAUUAGCGGAAGUCGAUCGUCGUAUAAAGUUGCUCGCCUUCUUAAUUACCACUCCCACUUUGCAACGAGAUGACAUCAGCGAGCCUCGAGUUCUAUCCUUGAUAUCGCGUGGGCAGGUACGAGACGCGUUACUACCAAGCACCUAGGAAGAAAUGACGCCGACAAGAGCAACAGUGACAUACAACGUGGGGUAAUGGCCCUGCAUUUCCUCGACGCCUUCGUGCGUGCAGAGCGACCUCGACUUCCGCGUUCUGCCGGCCGCGGCCGCCAUCGGAGGAAUCGCGUCCCCCGGAAGAUGUAAUUAUCAAUCGACCAGAGGAAGGAAAUUUACGGUUGUCUGCCGCGCCGGAGGAGGAAGAGCGCGUGUUACGCGCGAUGCAAGAUGCAAUCUCCUGCAGCGAGAGAUACGACACGCGAACGAGCACGCACGAGCGGGUUCGUAAUAAGACGAGAAGCAGUGCUCGGUAAGAAUACGAAGAUACGAUGCUGAUGGGCACGAGGAUAAUGCGCAUAACAGCAUACUUUUUUGAGCUAAAGGUUUCUUUUCUACUUUAAAUAUGUUUUCUUCUCUGUGAUAACUUGGAUUUUACUUGAUCACGUUGUAUUACGUCAUAAAACUGGCAAGGAAUUCUUUUGUUUAAUAUUAAAUAUUAUAGCGCUUAUAAGGCUGAUCCAUAAUUGAAAGACUCGAUUAUGAUUUCGCAAUUCUUAUUUAACACGAACAUUGAAUGAUGCACACGUUAAUGAGAGCGCAUUAUCUCGAAACUCAGUUUCUCCGACUUCGCGUAUUAUACUUGGAGUAAUGCGGAAAACUACGAAGUGCGAAAACCGUAACGACGAUAAACCGCGUGCGUAUCAAUGUUCUGUCGAGAAGAUUGCGACACGUACGGAGAACCUCAAACAGAGGUGACCGUUACUGCCAGCCAAGUAUAAAAUGAUACCGAGAGAUUGAAUGAUGACUGCGGUCGCAGCUGUGCAACGAGAAAGGAACCAAGUGCAAUUCUCGUGCAACAAACUGUUUGGAAAUUAACGCUUACGAAAGAUCGUCAUAGACUCAUCGCUGUCCAAUGUUUAAUUAUUGCGGUUUUAUGGCUACUGCAAUUUUAUUUUCAUGACAAGUUGUUACAACUCUGUUACAAAUAUUUUUACAAAAAGCAAUCACAUUAAGAAUUUAUGUGGAAUUUGAAUGUACGCAUCGGACAGAAAUCCAAGUAACACUUCUUUAAGCAAAUAAGAAAAUGUUGAUAAAUUAUAGAUUACGUCUUCGAUAAACGAUACUGGACAUUAAUAAAGAAACGAAAUUUUAUAUUAAAAUUAUUAAAUAUUCUAAUUUACUAUUUAAUUUCUGCAAAUCAUACCAAGCUUAAUUUACCGCAGAAUUUUCUAUAUCCUUGUUUCUGUGAAGAUGGCCAAAUUGAAGGAAAGAGGAGCGCAAGUGGGACAAGUAGCAGGAAUGAGCGAAAGAGGAAACCAGAAGCGAGGAAAGAGUAAGAGAGAAAGAAAAAAACCGUUACACCCCUCUUCCUCUGGUCUCCGUUACGUUACGCGGUUGGAAUCCUGACACUGCGUGACCAAGUGAUGCCAGGAUGAAUGACGAAGAAAAGGAAUAUUCUGGUGCGUGCAUAUCUUCCUGCAGAUCUUCACUUUCAUCAGCACGUUUCGCAAAGGACAUUUUUUUUUAAAUUAUCAACGCUCGUAAAUGAGCCUAGAAACGAAGGUAGUAACUCACGUACUUUUUACUUCCUCGUAGCGUGUAAUAACGAUUUUGCGUAUACGCUUUGUGUGAUUUGUUCGCGAGUAUGGAACCUUCGGUUCAUGUCGUUCGAAUAACUGGGAAAUUCCGACGAUCCCCGGAAUCGUUUGUCCCCAUAAUUGACGGAAGUCACGCAGCACGCGUGCAUGGAGGAUUGCCGUCGAAAAAUUCGCGCCCACGAAGCUUUUCCUGUUCCUCGAACUUGACACCGGUUCCUUGAAACCAGGACUUCGCCAGACCGCAAACAAACUACUGGAACUGGUUUCUGCGCGACGAGUAACGAAAAGGACGAUAAAAAUUCGGAUUUAAGUGGUUUCGCCAGACUGCUCAAUUAUCCGUAACAAUACGUUGGCAUUUUUGAGAACGCGUCCUUCAAAUCCCGAAAAUUCGAACACGCAAUGCAAAUUAAUAUAAAAUGUAUAACGUUACUAAAUUAUAUAUUAUAAUGUAAAAAAUGUUACACAUCAAAAUAUUUAAACAUGUAAAUAUCCGAAUUGUUUCCUCUAUUUUUCGAAAUUGUCGAAGUUGUAUUGUUAAUUUUAAUGUGACGUAUAAAUAUUAUUGAAACCAGAUAACCGAUACAGGUUUUAGUGCCGUCGCUGCAUCACCGUUCUGUAGGCACUGAACAAAAGAAGAAGCACGAUUAUACCGUUGCCCCAAGAAAUGAUCGAAGAACAAGACGACAUCCUCAAUCGACGACCUCGAUCCCUCGAUUUGCAUGAACGUCGAUUUGCAAUCAUACUCUGGUCCAAUGUUUGAUUUAAAUCCCUCCUUUUCUAUUUGUACUGUUUUCUUCUUAUAAAUUUAUAAACUCUAAAGUGUUUUCUCCAGUGUACUCAACUAAAGAUAAUAAUUGUUACGCAAAGCGUGCUAGAAUGGAAUAAAAACUGAAGAUCAUAGGUC